ensembl:lncRNA
CAGACUCUGGAUCUGACCGGCCGACCCGAGGGCACCCCACUCCACGUCUCAGAUUUCCCGUUCGUUCCCCUAGUCCCUAGUACCCUUAAUACCGCGGACGCAUGGGGCAUCCUCCAGCCUCGGCAAGUACCGCAGCCCUGGGGACCUGGCGCUCCCCGCACCCGGAGACCUCUUGCCCUGCAGAAAAGGACGACACCCACCUCACCCUCGCAGCAACCCCCUUCUACACCCGCCUCCACGGAACCCUGAUCCUGGCUCCCCUUCUCUCCGACCCCAGGCGUCUGAGACCCCAAACCGGAGCAGACCAUGUGUCUGAAUGCAGAAGCUGAGCCCCAGAGCCCAGGGCCCCAGCAGCCUGAGAGAAAGUGCCCUAAGGAGACCCCUGCCAGGUAAGGCCUAUCUCUGAGGGCUCUGUCCUUGCCUGGCGGCCCUCAAAACCUGGCUAACUGCUCACAGGCAAGUUGUGCCCUGGGUUUCCCCCACCAACUCCACACUUCACCCUGGGGGGAAGGGAAGGGUCACCAAAGUCCCUAACCCCUCCUUCAGGUGGGGGGCCUGUGCUCUCCCACCUCUGUCUCUUCAGCCUCCCCCUUCUCCUUGCUGAUCUCACCUGAGUCUCCCCUCCCCCGACAGGCAGGCGGGAGCAAAGGAAGAGAAGGCAGGACAGAUCUCCAGCUCCCUAUCUCCUGUGGGACCCUUUGACCCCUCAGCUGUCACAACUGACCUUUUCCAACUUCUCCUACCAGAGGCCCCACCCCCCACCAUGAAGCCCCUUUCCAGCCUGGAAUGUGAACUCCCCUUUCCGUGCCCCAAAUGUGGGAAGCGCUUCAGCCAGGGGGCCCGGCCUGACCCUGUACCUACACUCCCACACGGGUGACAGGCCCUGCUCCUGCAGCCAGUGUGGCCACAGCUCCUACCUGCCCCAGCCCCUGACACACAUGCCCACCAGUGUAGCAAGGGCUUCUCCCAAGAGCUCUGGCCAGCUGCAGCACACCACUGUUCACACAGGCACAUGGCCCUACGUCUGUGUCACCUGUGGAUGGGGUUCAGGAGCCACCCAGCCUCGUCUAUCGUGAGAAGACUCACUUAGUGAGCACGGCUUCCCCUGCCCCGAGUGUGGCAAGCACUUCACCCAGAGUGUCCGCUGAGCCCAGCACCUACGGACGCUCACAGGGGAGAAGCCCUACCUGUGCGGCUAGUGUGGCCAUGGCUUCAGCCAGCACCCCUGGCUCGUGGUCCACCAGUGGGUCCACCACUUGGUUCCUCUGCUAUCCCUGCCGGUCCACACCUGCUAGGUGUGCUCUUCCCUCCGGUGCGGGCAGUAGCCUGCUGCCACACAGUGCAGCACAUGAGAAGCCCUUCUUCUGCCCCCAGUAUCCCGAGGGCUCUGGCUACUCCAACCUGCAACACCACCAGCAGGACCACGGGGGGAGCGGCCCCACCACUGUGACCAGUGCAGCAAGGGCUUCAGACAGAGCUCAGGGCUGUGUGGCACCAGGGAGUCCACAGGGGCAAGACUGCGAGUGCAGCUUCCGGUCCAGCUCCGGCCUGGCCCAGCACCUGCAGGGCCGCUCUGGGGAAAGGCCCUUCUGCUCUGGCGGCUGUGGCUUCACUCAGAGUCCCCAUCGACCUUGACAACAGGCCAGGGCUGGUGAGGAGCACAGGGAUGAACAUGGAGGGGGGGACAUCUGGAGGCCAAGUCAAGGCCCCUGUGGGGAGCCAGCCCCCCAACUCCACAGCACUCUAGGAGGGCAGAGGGGCAGUUGGAAUGACUGCCUCUUUUGUGGGAGGCAUAAUGGAGCACAGCUCCCACCACACCCCAGCCAGAGCAACUUUCAGAGCAACCACAUUGGGUGGCCAGAGUGUCUCUGCUGGACCUACUCAAAGCUGGAAUGGCCAGGUCCACCUCACUUCUAGUCCAACGUGCCAGUUCCCCAGAGAGCUCCCGGCCUGGGAAAGAGCUCUCCCUGUUUCUUAGAAAGGACUCUGUACUUCUGAUCUUCUGUCCUCCGUCUGAGAAAUUUAACCAGGAUGUCUGGGUCCUACUGCCUCAUGGAUGGAUCCGAUUCCCUGGGAUUUUUUUGAAGGGAUCAUUUCAAAGAGAUAACUGAAUCCCCAUAGAGCUCCAUGACAACGCCCACCAUCAAAUCCUAGUCCCCCACUAACCCCUCCAACCCUCUCAUUUCCCCCGAGGCUUCUGGGUGCUUCUUGCCUCUGGUGCUAAAGCUACACCCAGCACACCUGUCUGAUGCUGCCAUCUCCCUAUGCCUACUCCUGGCCUCGCUAGGCCCUGUUUCAGGACCUCAGGGCUUCCUAAAACCUUCAUUGCACUUCAGUCUAGGAAUAAAGCCCAGAUGGAGGCUGCUCUUUCCAGCUGUACAGAGGCCUCCUAUUGAAAGGUGCAAAAGGGCAGAGGCAGGUGUCCAAGGAGAGGGCAGGGAUGUGGAGGAGAUGGAGACCGGAGGAAAAGCCAAGGGAGAUUGGAGGAGAAAGUGGGAGGUUCUGGAAUGUGGAGAAAAGACAGCAGGGCUGUGUGAGACAAGACACACAAGAAACAUCUCAGAAAAACUUAGAAACAAAUGUCUUCAGGUACGAACAUCCCCGGGGAACCACUCAUUUCUUCUUCAGUUGACAAGUUUCCCCCAGUGUUGUGAAGGCACUGAGUUGCCAACACAAUCACUUCAUGUCCUGCCAUUUGCACUUUUUCCACAAAAUUGCUUGCUAACUGUCUUCUUCGUGUGUUGGCAAACUGAUUUUGAACAAAGAGUCAGGAGGGAGUCCCACAGCAGAGUCCCUUCCAGACUGGUGCCCCGGCCCAGCCUGGCACUGAGGAGAGCACUGUCAUCAUUCACCCUUUUAGAAGGUUCUGCUGGGGGAGUCACUCCCUGGCAACACUCACAGCAAGUUUAUGGUUACUGUUCAUGUUAAAGGAUAAGGUAGACCUCAGCUCUUGUAUUAACUUCCCCCAAAGUAUACUCUUUAGAACUGGGCAGAGUCCUCCCUAGGAGGUAUCAGAGGCUGAUUACUGACACACACACGAAGGAAUUAAAGAACUGGAGGGAUAAAAGGGUCACUGAGAGACUGCUAAUCAGUUUCACCCUUUCAGGAAAUAUGUAUUGAGUCCACCACGUGUCAGGGACUGUUCUGGGACCUGGGUAUUACAAACAGGCAUAUGAUGCAGCCCCCGCCUUCCACCGAUUUGAUCUAGGCGUGUUCAGCAUCUCAAUAUUGAACCCAGCAUCUAGUCCUAUCAAUUGUAUCCACUAUAAUCUCUCUCAAGUAUGUCGUCUCUUUCCCACCCCUCCACCUCCCUUGUCCAGCUACCACCUGGACCAUCUGGUUCUCCUCUGAAUCAUCGUGAUGGCUGGAGAGGCUGGGAAUGGCGUUCUCUGUGAGCAGCACACCUGAGUAACAGAGGCCUCUUUGAAAUGUAAAUCUGAUUGUUUCAGGCACCCUGCUUAAGCCCAUUCAAUGGUUUCCCAUUGAUCUCAGGUUAAAGACCCCAGUCCUUAACCUGGCCUUUAAAGCUCUGCGAGGUGUGGCCGUGCCGGCCUCUCCAGCCUCAUCUCCCACCACUCACUCCUCUCUCCCUCUCGCAGAGCGCUCCACUUCCUGUCGGUGUCCCGCUUCCUCCCGCAGAGAGCGGCGGCCAGGCUGGGCCCUCCUCCUGAGAGGCGCUUUCUUCCAUUUCUCUCUUAGCUCCUCAUUCUUCGGAUCUCAGCUCCUUUACCACAUCCUUAGGGAAGGUACCCUAUCCUUUCCUUCAGGGUCCAAUUCCCUCCUCUGGGCUCCCACACCAGGUGCACCUUUCUCGCAGGCACUUGGCACCGUUCAGUUCCAUAUUUGUUGGUGAUUAUUUGAUUGAUAUCUGUCUCCCCACCGACUGUAAGCUCCCUGAGGGUGGGCACCACAACUGCAGAGGCUCACUCUUGCUAUUCCCUGGACACUCCAUAAAUAUUGAAAUAUUGGUUGAAUGGGUGCACAUGUGCCAGGAUCUGCAGCAGGUGCUAGAUAUUUCAGGAUUUCAGAGAGGGUGGAUUGAGGCCAUAAUUUCCCUCCAGCGGCUGCCGCCCAAGAGUCCCAUAUGCCGUUUCCUUAGCACCAUUCCUUUCUCCAUGUUUCCUGGUGUCAUCCAUCUUCCCAGCUCCGCCUCUCCGGUACCCUCCCCACCUCCACCUUGCCUAGGAGAACCUUUCUCCCUUUAGUUUUUUAGUGCCCCUUCCUGGUUUUGGCUCCUUGGCUUCAGAAGCCAGCAUGGAAUAAUGAGGCAAUAGCACAGGAUUCAGAAACAAAAUAUCUGGAUUCAAUAACAAGGUUAAAAGUAUUAGCGGUGUGACCUUCAGCAGGCUAAUAAACCACUCGGAACCCUAGCUUACAUAAAAUGGGAACAACUUCGAAAUCAAGCAAGUUGGAGGAAUUAGAAAACCUAAAAGCACCGUCAUCUAGAAAUACUGGAUAAAAUAUGAAAAAAAUUAAACAUAUGACUGAAUUCUCAAAAGGAAAGUAAAAUUCCAGGUGCCAGAAACAAAGAGGAAACUGAAAGCUGGAGGCUGAGCUGACUGUGGCCACGGUGACCAGAAGGCGGCUGGAGGGAAUGGGUUCUGUUAACUCAGGGCUUGAGUGCUUCCAGCCACCCGGGGACAGGAGACGAGGUCUUGGUCCUGAAGAGGUGGGGAAAUUAGAUGAAAGGAGCCAAAGCUGACUCAAGAAGAAAUAAAAAACCUGAACAGAUCUAUAAAUUCUAAUAAAUUAAAUGAGAAGCUAAAAAUGUACACGCACACAGCACCUAGAUGGUUUCUAGGUAUAUUAUUCUGCCAACUCUUAAAGGAACUAUUUAUUUAUUUAUUUAAACUACACCAGAUAACGGUACAAGAGGAAAAUCUCACUUAUAAGACUAAAAGUCCUAAAUAAAAUAGUAGCAAACUGAAUCCAGUAAAGUUUGUGCAAGUGUGUGUAUAUGUGUAGGUAAGUGUGUGUGUGUGUGUGUGGGUGUGACCAAGCAGGGUUAUUCCAGGAAUGUACGGAUGAUCUACUUAAAAAAUCUGCAAAUGAUAUUUACAACACUGACAUAUUAAAGGGAAAAAAACCACGAUUGUCCCAAUAGGUACAGAGAACACAUCGGAUAAAGUUUAACCCUAAUUCAUCAUUUUAAAAAAAUCUAGCUAACUAGGAAUUGAAAAUAACAUCCAAUAUCAAGAUAAGAAUAUUAGUUUUUACUGUUUCUAUUCAACUCGUGUUAGGGGGUCUGAACUGGUACAAUAAGAAAGAGAAGAAAUAAAGCCAUCACUAUACAUAAAUGAUUGAUUGAUUAUUGACAAAGACAAUUUAUGAGAACCCACAAACAGAACCAGUACAGCCCUUUCUGGGGACAAGAUGAAUAUGCAAACACCAAUUUGCCUGUAUCAUAGCAACAAACAAAUGGAAGAUUUUGUUUUAAGAAAGUACCAUUUGUAAUAGCAACAAAAGCUGUAUGAUACUUAGGAAUAAGUAUAACAUAACAAAAUAUGUGCAUAUUUAUGGAGAAAAUUAUAAAAAUUUAUUGGAGAAUGUUUUGAAAAGACACAAAAGAAUGCUCAUGAAGAGGAAAGCUCAAUAUGAAGAUGGUAAUUUUUCUCAAAUCUAUAAAUUCAGUACAAUUCUAAUCAAAACCCCAGCCAGAUGUUUUAUGGAACUUGAUAAGCUGUUCUUAAAAUUCUUAUGGAAGAGUAAAUGCCCAAGAAAAGCCGAAACAAAUUUGAAGUGGAGGAAUACCAGAGUACUUGCCUUACCACAUAUCACAGCUUCCCUCUAAAGCUCAAGUGGUAAAGGCAGUGUGGUCCUCCAAUAGUGUAGACCACUGGUACAGGAAAGAACUUGUUGGAAUCAGACCCGCAAAGAUAUGAGAACUUGGCAUAUGACAAAAGUGUCAUAGGUCAGUGGAAAAGGAUGAACUAUUUGUUAACGUGUCAGGUUAACCAGCUAUCCAAAUGGGGAAAAAAAUAGAUCCCUGCAUUACAACAUACCCCCAAAUAAAUUUCAGAUAGCUUAAAUACGUGAAA